AAUGGGUUAAUUUAAAUUGUAAGAGCUAGUGGGACAAGCCUAUGCCAAGGCCAAAUUUCAUAAUUAAUAAUAAGUUUCCUUGUCAUUAUUUGUGAGCUGGCGGCCCAAAGAAAAAAAUCUGAUUACAAAAGGGGGCAUUGGCCUGGUGGUGCCAGACUGAGACAAGGUGCUUUGGGAAGAGACCUCCAGAUCCCAGGCACAAGCGAACCCAGGUCUGAGGGCAGCCUCCGGCAAUGAGCCAGACAGAAGGCAAGACCCUAGCCAAGCGGAGUAGGGUCUGGGAUAGGUUCUAGGCCCAGGAGAGGGAACACACUAGGGAAGCUUCCAGAAGCCUAUGGCGCACCAAUGGAACCAGGCAAGUAUUCCAAGGAAGUUGGGGGGGCGGGCGGGAGUGUUUAGACCCAGUGGAUGGUGAGUGUGGUAUUUAUAGAGAGAGGGGCUGUUGAGAUUGAGCUGUUGUGCCUCCCUUGUGCUCAUGCGGCAGACAUCACCAAUCAAUUCCUAUACCUUUUCCUGAUGAGUCCUUACAAUGACCUCAGAACUGUUCCAAACAGAAACCCAGCAGUGGUGGCUGAUAGGUCAGAGCUGGCAUGCCAUCACUGGCUUGCCGAGGAGCUGUUUGGGGGGAUGGAACUGGUUACAGCAGAGCCAAGUAACCCAGGGAACCCAGCAGAGGCAUGGUGGUCAGAGUUCACUCGUGAAGUGAACACGUGCAGGCUGUUUGGGCCGGGCACUAACUACUCUGUGGCUGGGGGAAAAAGCUUCCAGUAGAGGAGAGCAGGCCGGCUCAUAGACCAAGCACAGGAAGAGAGACAUUGAACUCAGCAAAUGUAACCGCUAAGACCUCCUGAUGAGAUGGGAUCUGCGGAGGGAGAUGCACGGAGCAGGAAGGGUUUUGUCACUAAGGCUGAAGAACAGGGCUGCUUCCGAGGAAGACCAUCUCAGACUGAUCUGGCUCCAUCUCUGCUCUCUAGGAGAGAAGCCGACUUGGUGGCUGGAGCCGGCAUAAUUACUGGGGAGUCACAGGCACCACGUCCAUGUCUGAAGCUGGGGGCAGCCUACUGGCAUCUGCUUCCCAUGGGCUCAGAGUCCACGCUGCCCACUUGACUUUGGGGAAUUAGCCUGGGGCCUGCCGACCUCCUGGCCUUGGCUUCCGGAUGGCCUAAGUGUCAGCUGGCUCUCUGAGGGCCAUCUGUCUUGCUUUUUUUCUAAUAAGAGUUCUUCCUGCUUUAGGAGAGGAAAAAUGAUGUUCGGGUUAUUUUCCGCUUUAAGCCAGUCCUUGCCACUUUAUAGAAAAAUAAAUAAAUAGACAAUCGGAAGAUAGAGAAGUGUAUAAGAAAACUCUCAAUUCUGCCACCCAAAGACAUCUCCUGCUGCGGUGCGUGUCCCUCGGGCCUCUUGCUUCUGUUUGUGUGUUUUGUUUGGCUUGGUUUUUGCUUGGGUGUGUUUGUGCUGAACAUACAAUUCUGUUGCUUCCUUCUGCACACGGCGUUUUUAGAAUAAGCAUCUUCCGUGUUAUUACAAACCCUUGGUAAACAUCAUUUCAAUAGUCACAGAAUAUUCCACCGAGUGAAUGGAUCACGCUCUAUUUAAACAUGCUCCCCUCCUUUUGGGCCUGUGGAUUUGUACCCCCUGUUGAUUUCUUUUUCUAUCAUAAAUAAAAUGGCCUUUGUUUUCUCAUUCUUCUCUGAGGUCUCCACCAAAACUAGAAAAGACAGGUCAAGUCCUAUCCGGAAGUGUGUGGCUGCUGAAAUGAACAGCCUCUAGCAUUUACCUAGAAUUGGGGCUUCACCCCUUUUGAACUGUAGGGCACACAGCUGACCUUGGUGAUGCCCAGUGAAAAAAAUCAAAGCUGGCUGGUGGGAAGGAGUGGCCCAGGCAUCCUUCAUACAGAGUUCUCAGUGAAAUGACAUUGUCAACCUUGCACACGCUUGUGUACACAGCUCCUCACUGCCACUGGUGAGAAAAUGGAGCUCAGAGAACUUAAGGAAACAUCUUCCCUAGAGGCCGAUUCUGAAGACUUUUCCUUUCUUCAAAGCACACUAGAGGAGCCGAGAGUGUGGCUUGGUCGAGCGCUUGCCUGGCAGGCAUGAAGCCCUGGGUUACAUCUCCAACAUUCAUAAACCGGGUUCGGUGGGACCACAUCUAUAAACUUUGCACUCAGGAGGUGAAGACCGGAGACUAUGAAGUUCAAGGUCAUCCUUGACUAUCUAGUUCGACCCCACCAAGCUCAAGGGGACGAUGUGAGACCAAGACGACUCCCUGUUAAGCCAACAGCCCAGGAACAGCUCCAGAACAUGCCCCAGAAGAACCCCCAGCUGUCCUGUAGAGUCCAACUGGACAAAGGUCCCACCCCCACCCCACACCCCACCCCCGUGUGUUCCACUCCCUUGCUCAGUGCCUGGGCCUCUGCUCUGAGGUUUCUCGAGAUGAAAGGUAGAUGUCCUAUUUUAGGGCAUCUGGGUUUCAGGUACGUAAGCACCUGCUCUGCUCAGGCAGGGGGGGGGGGGAGUUCAGGACCAACCUGCUUUGCUGAUUGGUGGUUACCCAGGUCAGAACACUGCCAUUUUCUUCGGAUGACUUAGAGUUCAGAGCGUCAAACCUCAGCUCCAAGUGGAGGGGCACCUUUCCCUUACAGGUUGGGAGUAACCACUCCUUGGGAAGAAGAGGGCGCACCCUGACAGGAAGAGACUCAGACACAGGCAUCUAACGCUUCCUGCCUUUGUCAAGCUUACCUGGAAGGGCCCUGUGGCUCUGCCUCCCCCCAGAGUCCCCUGCAGCUGAAGCGCCACUUAGAAGCAGCCCCUAGGCAGACGUGAGGCUGCGGCAGAAAGAGGAAGAUGAAAUCAGGGCAGGAGCCACCUUCAGGGGGCUGGGGAACAGAAGAAAAGGACAGCCUGGAGGGAAGACUCCGCAAACAGCUCCCAGCCUCGGGUCCUUUGAAAAGUGAGAAUCGGGUCAAAAUAAAACAAAAAAUGAGAUGGUAA